UCUUAGCACCAUGUUCGGCUCUCUCUUUCGCCCUUUCCUGUCGGCUGGAACUUUGUUUAUGAAAUGCCGCUUCUCUCUCCCUAAACCAGGCAAAAAUCGACCUCCUCCGACGUCCUCCCUGUCCACCGACGGGCUAUCUACGGCCUCCCUCCACUUUUCCUUUCUUUGAUGACCCGAGGUGCAAAUAAUGUGAGAAAUAUAGCAAAACCCGAAGCCAACAACUCCGGAAGAGAAGCGGAAGCCCAGCUUCAUCGUCGACUGUGAAGCCUCCAAUCUGUCGGCUGGAAGCUUCUGACGCCAACAACUCCCGAAGAAAAGCCGAAUCCCAGCCUCCUCGACCGUGAAGGCUCUGAUCUGUAGGUUGGAAUUUUCGAAUCAAACAACUCCAGCAGAAACGCCGAAGCCCAGCCUCUUCAAGUGUGAACCUCCGAUUUGUCGACUAGAGCUUUGUCCUUGUGUUUUUGGGUUCCCGUUUUGAACUUUUUGCCUUUGUUUUUGGGGAUUUCUCUCCCUUCGAUUUGGGCAUUGUUUGAUGUGAGUUUGAUUUUGAGACAGAAGUGUAGCAUUGUUUGAAAACUCUGUAUUUUUGGUUUGCUGCUGCUCCUUGGGGUACACUAAGCUAAGGAAAAACCAAAUGGUGAAGGGAGUGACGAUGCUCCUGAAGAGGCAAUGAGUGCAGCAACUACUGCUGGUUGACAGAGCAGUCCUGGUCUUCCUCGAAUGCCAGUUUAAGAGAUAGCUGCUGCUCAGAUUCAGAAGGCUUUU